UCCAGUUCGCACAAAUCAUUCGCGAACUGUAUAAACAUAUGUUUUAUCAAAAAAUACGUUAUCACGCGUCAAUUUCAGUUUCCAAUUUCUAAUUUUCUUGUUCGCGAUUCAAUUUUCAAUUUAAAAUAAGUUAAUACUUUUAUUAAUGAACCAUGGAUACUCUGUUUUGCAAAUUUUGUAAAAAAAAUUACUCUCGACUGUAUAAUUUCAAAGUGCACUUGAGAAAAUUCCAUCCCAAAGUAUACGCCGAAAGUGAUCUAUCGAAAACUAAACCAAAAUUCGAUCAGAAAUGUCCUCUUUGUGAUUUUUCAAGCAAAGUGAGGAACAACGUUGAAAAACAUCUAGUCGAUUUUCACCAUAUAGAAGAAGUAAGCAAUUAUGAAAUUUUACACUUCGCUUCGAAUGAUGAAUUUGCCCGAUGGAAGAAAGACAUCGAAACAUCAUCAAAUACAGGUUUUGUUCAACCGUGCGGAGCUCAGCGUUCCAAAAACAUCAAAACUACGUAUUAUUAUUGCAACCGUUCGGGUUAUUUUGUUCCUAAAGGAUUAGGUAAACGAGCUCUAAGAACUCAAGGAUCUUCUAAAAUAAAUGGCGUUUGCCCAGCCAAAAUCAAGAAAAUAGAGAAAGAAGACGGUAUAGAAGUCCAUUAUUUAGAUAUACAUAUCGGACACACCGCCGAUAUCAGUCAUUUACGUUUACAAAAGGAAGAAAGAGACGAAAUAGCUUUGAAAAUAGCCCAAAACAUUUCCUUCGAUACUAUUUUACAAGAUAUCAGACAAUCCGUUGAAACUGGAGAAAAAAUAGAAAGACUAAAAUUACUGAGUAAGAAAGAUUUAUGGAAUAUUAAAUAUUCGUACACUGCCAAUGGUACGCUACCACAUAUGAUAGCUCUUCUUACUGAUUUGGAGAAACCAGACGAAAAACAUUCCGGUGAUGAAAAUUUCGUGGAAUACGAACCUUUUAUUGAAAUAUUAUCCGAAGAAAAACCUGAUCUUGAACACGAAGAGAUCAUAAUUGAAAAUCACAUAAUUACGAGCUAAAUCUUAACAAUGAAAACGAUGCUGUGAUUUCAUUUUCCUAUUAUAAAGAAGACCAGAAAAAUAGGAAGUAAGGUAUAAAAAACUAACAUCAUCAAACUCUGUGUGCUGGGUUUCGACGUUCUCAUCAAGGAGUCCAUUUUCCAGUUCGAAAUAUAUCAUCGAAUCUUCACUGGGGAUCAGAUCAAAUUCAUCUUUGUUUCGAAUACUUUCCGUACCUAUGACCGAAGCUGGCUAUUUUCUCGGAUGGGUAUACGAAGGUAUUUCUAAACGGAAAAUCACUAUAAUCCUAACAACUGGUUGACUGUUCUGUUGGUUCAUCUAAUUGUACCAAAUCAACUCAAUUACAUAUUUCCAGGCGGCGUUUUGCAGAAUGUGUUUAACAUUUAAUAAGCUUUUCCUGUGUCUGCUUUUUUAAACGCUCGAAAAUCAGUACAUAAAGUAGAAUUUUUUUACUAAAUAAUUAUUUCCUAUUAGUUCGAGUUCAAAGUUUUAUUGGCGACUAUCUCUCGUAUCCCAGACCAGCAGACCUAUCUCAUUGUUAGCUUUUGGAAUUUUUACACAAGCAGUAUUAAACGUAAAAAUAAUAUUGUAAUAGGUACUUACAAUGUUGGUAGAAGUGUCUAUUCUACUACGAAAUCCAAGUGCUUAUUUAGUUUAUCAAACGCGAAAAUUUACGAAAUUUUCACUAUGAAAAAAAAUUUAAUAUUAUUUACGAUCCAAUUCGUGGCUUCGAUCUGAAGCAAUUAUACUAAAUGAAUGGCUAAUAAAUAUCUGAACAAAUAAGUUCGAGUAUUAGAACGUCUUUGUGAAUUUUUCGAUGCUUAAUUAAGCCAACUUAUGCGUAAUCAUUUUAAUAUUGUGGUAAAUUAUGAAAAAUUCUACUUUAAAUAAACGACAAAAUAUGCGAAAGCACCGCCGUUCGUAUGACAUCAGUCGAAUAUUACGUUCGAAGAGAUGAAAUUUGGCAAAUAAUAUCUGCUCGUAGGUAUAUUUGCAGUAAACACUUUUCUAAUUAGGAAGCAUUGAUGAAUAAUAAAGCGAAAUGAAUAUGGCAAAAAUACUAUCAAAAGUCUCUGCUGGUUACGAUGAUGGCAAUGAAAAAAGUUCAAGAACAAGAGACUAAAUGAUUUUCUCCACGACUCAUCAAAUUAUUCAAGGGAAUAUUGUAAACUAUGUUGGGAUUUUUUGACUUUCUUUCCCCUCUUUCAUCGAUAUUAAUUACAUGCUGCCAUAGAAUGAUAACCUUAUCGUUGUAAAAUGUUCAUUGUAAUUCUUUGUAAUGCAUUUCUUGUUUUGUUUAUCAGGUUUACGACUCCAUUUAGCAGAAUUUUACUCGUGUGUUUUACUUUUCAUUAGAUGCGAUAAAGGUUACAAAAUAUAAUUAACAGGAUAGGUACGAGAUGAUUUCGAGAUGCACUGAAAUAAUUUUCUCUUCGAAUCAUUAGUACAUAAUUUUGUUAAGUUAAUCGUUACUGUUGGUAAUCGGGUGGUUAUUUUUUAUGUGAUAAAUAUUUGAUAAAUACGGGUUAGGAAAACCUAUUAAUGUGUACGCGUAUAUGUAGCAUGAUGUCAUUUCUUAUUGGAGAAGAAUGUUGGUGAGUACAUCGUAGAAGUACCUACAUUAUGGUAGGUACACGUUUUGAAAUGUAAAACGAAAAAUCUUGACGUAUUAUUCAAAUUUAUGAAUUAUUUGAAUUCAUUAACGAUUGCAGCUGGGAAAAUAACGUCAUCUGUUCAAAGUAAUUUCUGAUUGCAUCAGGUUUUGUAUUCGCGUGAUUGAAAUUGAUAAUAAUGGAAAUAAUCGUAAAAAUGAUAUUUUCCGGGUAUUUAUAAUUAUUUUUAAAGGCGUAAAGAUAAGAUACAUAUAUUUCAAAUAGAAUUAUUCAAUUUAGUAAGAGAUUCACAUCUGUAUAAGUACCUUUCUUAAUAAUAAUAGCCUACCCUAUUGUAUACCUCUUGGAAAAUUUCAAAAAAUUGAUAAGUACCUAUACGUAGAUUUGAUUUUUUAACUUAUCACGAGUAAGUAAGUACGUGUAAUGUGAUACAAAAUACAAAUCUGGGAAUUGAAAUUCAAAUUAUAAAUAAACUACGAAUAAUUGCGAGAAUCAUAAUCAUAAAUUCAUUGAACGUACAACGUAUACCUACCUACCUAUAUAAGUAGUAGGUAUAUUGAGAUAAGUAUGACUAAAAAAAAAAAUAAAAUAUAUUCAGUUUUUUUUCGUCA